rnacentral:rRNA from 1 species
UACGGAAUGUGCAAACGUUAUUCGGAAUCACUGGGCUUAAAGAGUCCGUAGGCGGCAUGUUAGGUGAGGUGUGAAAUCCCCCGGCUCAACCGAGGAAUUGCGCUUCAAACCGGCGUGCUUGAGGAAGAUAGAGGUGGGCGGAACUGAUGGUGGAGCGGUGAAAUGCGUUGAUAUCUGGAGGAACACCGGUGGCGAAGGCGGCAUCCUGGACCGGCAUUGACGCUGAGGAGCGGAAAGCCAGGGGAGCAAAGCGGG